GGUUAAGUUAGAAAGGGCGCACGGUGGAUGCCUUGGCACUAGGAGCCGAAGAAGGACGGGACUAACACCGAUAUGCUUUGGGGAGCUGUACGUAAGCGUUGAUCCAGAGAUUUCCGAAUGGGGGAACCCACUAUCUUUAGUCGGAUAGUAUCCUUACGUGAAUACAUAGCGUGAGGAAGGCAGACCCAGGGAACUGAAACAUCUAAGUACCUGGAGGAAGAGAAAGCAAAAUCGAUUUCCUGAGUAGCGGCGAGCGAAACGGAAAGAGCCCAAACCAAGAAGCUUGCUUCUUGGGGUUGUAGGACACUCUAUACGGAGUUACAAAAGAAAGUUAUAAAUGAAGCGGUCUGGAAAGGCCCGCCAAAGACGGUAACAGCCCGGUAGUUGAAAUGGCUUUCCCUCCAGAGUGGAUCCUGAGUACGGCGGAACACGUGAAAUUCCGUCGGAAUCCGGGAGGACCAUCUCCCAAGGCUAAAUACUCCCUAGUGACCGAUAG
rnacentral:rRNA from 1 species